AAACCUUUUGUUCAGGCGGGUCUGUUGCAUAUUCGUACCCGGGAGUGAGACGGCUGCGUCACAGACCGUGCACGAACUCAAGUUCGUAAAGACACCGCAGCCACCUGUCACCUGCUCCAGCCCGUGUUGCCAAAGUCACCAGCACUGGAUAUCCCCGCGAGCGUCGCCACCAUCACUGCUCCGGAAACAUGAUGAAAUCGAGGGGAUCGCUGCCCCUUGGGACCUAUGUCACCUACAGCAAAGCGGUUCUGG